GAGAUGGAUCAGGGCCUCCUUACUGUCUGAAGUCUCUGCUCUGCUUUACUUUCACCAUCUGGUUCCAGAGAAGCCAAUCCAAAUCAUUUACUGCAUAUCUUGCCUUGCCGUAAUUUACAUUUGGCAUCAGGAUGCAGCUGUACUGACUCUUCCCAAGAGCUCAGUCAUAGUUGAAGAUCCUUUGAGUCUGUACUGUGCAAACCUGAAAAAAAACACCUGAUUCCACCUCAUGGAGGUUUUAUCCACUGCCUUGGCACAAAAGUGCAAUGCAAGCUUUCUUUUGAAGUCCACUAGGAUUUCCUUAAAUUUAUGAUCAGAUAGUUGCAAGCAAUGAAAUUAUCAUCUCCCAUGUGAGAGGAGACAGCAUCCUGCACAGACCAUUUCCAGCAAAGGUUGUUUAAGACAACCCUUUUUAUUUUGCAGUGCAAGAUGCUGGAAGCACAGUAGCUUUGAAUUUCUUCAGUUCAGCUAAAGGAGGAGCUUGGCUUCUUUUCCAUAAUCUCCUUUCAGGCAGUGGAAGACAACAAACACCUCUUUAGCUUUCUCACCCCGCAGUUUGAACUUCCCCAGUGCUUUCAGCAUCUCUGCAUGUAGCAUGUGCUUCAGCACCCGAUCAUGCUGAUGGCCUUUGGCUGAGCUCUCCCUGGGAUGUCAGCAAACCAUGUUGCAUCUUGUUGGUGCCAUCAGCUAUGAGUGUGGACAUUUACUUUGGCCCAGAGAGAGGGGAAUAAGCUAUAUUCCAAAUAACCUCUGGACUAUGUACUUGAAUUAAAGAACAUAAAGGAGCGAGCAGCGCCAUGUAAGCAGCUGUGGACUGGCAUGAAGAUAGAUGGUGUCUGGGACGAGACGGGGCAAAAAGAAAAGAAGCAAAAGGUUUUUUCCAUUGCGGCAGAGCUCUGUCAUGGACGUGGCGUCGGGAGCUGUGGAGGCUGUGCCUGUGGGGAGGGUUGGUAUUUUAUUUGGCACCAAAGAAAAGAGCAGUCGGUAAAGGAAAGAGUUUGGAAAAAAUGCUUUAUACGUGCAAGACCGAUUAGCAAGGCAAGAGACAUGGCUGUGCAGCAGGUUUUCUGAGGAGAGGAUUCACAUCAAAACUAUUGGGUGUCUGUGACACUUUCGAAGAAAUAAAAUCACUUCAAGUGCAAUACACCAGCGGUCAAUGUGGAAAUGAACAAACUCACCACUGUGCUGUCCCAGGCUGGGCAGAGAGAAAUGGGCAAUUUUUUUUUCCCACGCAGAAUUCAGUGCACGUCUUCAUUGGAAGUGCCCCGCAGCCUCCCUGCUGCUGUCUGACCUUCCAGCCAGGGUACCUCUGCUAGAAAUUAACCCGAACCUCGAGGUGUGGCAAGAUCUCCUGAAGGAGUCAGAUGGGAAGGAUGAACCCAGUGUGGAAAGGGAAAAAAACACCCUUUGGCUGAACUGCCAAAUCUCUGAAGACUAAAAGUUCAGGCAGCCUUUCUCUGGGCAACAUGAGACCCACAACAGCCUGUUCCACCCAACAUUUUGUAUUCUGACCUUCACGAUCUUUGCUACAAAAGGAAAAAAAUUGUUAGUGGAGAAGAGGAAAAGCAGAGAAGGUUUUACCAGCCACCUUUUUCUUUUAUAAAGCAGGAGCUAUCUUUAAUCCCUUCUGUAGUGCUCUAAGCUUUUCCCCUGCUCCUGCAGAACACCGGAGUAUCUGCCUAAGUUUAAGGCUGCAAAUAACCCCCCUCACUGCAUUAUCCCUUUAAGGGACUGCAUUAUUCCCUUUAAGGGAAGCCACCUUAGACACCAGGGCUUUUUGUAGUGAAGUUCCAGCGAGUCCUGCUCCAGCGAAGUCCCCAGGCACACAAUGCUAUCUUCUCCUGACAUUCAUCAACCAUUGUAUAAGUCUCCAGGAAUCACAACCAGCUUAAAGAUCAGAGGAUUUUUCUUUACAAUUGCACAGUAUUCUAUUAUCUAGGCAUUAAUCUCCAAGCAGAUACCACCAGCAAAGAAAAAAGAUGACAUCAAAGCUAAGAAUGCUUUAAAACUACUGCGGGGGAAAAAAAUGGGUAGAAAAUACUUAUGAAAAAAUGUCCUGCGCUGCAGAAAAAGGAUCAUGAUGGAGAAUACAGGAGCAUGAUGGGUUCAGGGAAAUCACUUCAAGUACAUUAAAUUUUUAGAAAAUACUCAAAAGGUUGAGCAUCAGGGAAGAUGAUGACAGAAUGAUGGCAGACUUUCAGAGGAAUACUCCUUGUAUUCUGAAGAAGCGUAUAAAGGUAGAGAAGUAAUACUGGAAAUACAUAAAUAAAAAAAAGACAUCUUCCCAUUGCUCUUAAAAAUUUAUUGACAAAACAAAACAAUUGAGAAGCGUGCUGCCAAAAAGAAAGUUUCUUGUGUAAUGCCUGGGUCAGUACAGAAGGAGACCUGUGGAUUUCUGCAGGAAGGCUGGUUACAGACAUGCAAGCAAGGGUCAGUGAGGUCCAUCCAGCUCCAUGUCAUGUCUCUGAUGAGAGCAAGGGAAGGAUUCUUAGGAAGCAGUUUAACAACAGCGCCUGUACAGUCUGAUGCAGCUCUAGGUAUAUUCUCAUUUGUUUUCCAAGCUGGACAGUCCCUGGGUCAUUUGUCCUCUCUGUGUACUGUUAAUUAUCUGUCCUUCUCAGCCUUUUCUGCUCAUUUUCUAGGAUUACUACACAGUCUGUGAGAUGGGUGGUACUACCACUUGCUGUACUAAAGGCACCAGAGAGUCAAUGAAACUUGGUGAAAAGGAACAAGUGACUUCAAUUAGUCUUUGGAUCCAGCUUGCUUUUAUAUAAUAAAAUUGAAAGGUACAGUUGAUUUUCAGAGAGGUGAUUAACUCUAAUCAGGUAGGUAAGCAAUCCUAUUAAACCAACAAACUAUGGCAUGUCCCCGAGUGCCCUAUGAAUCAAUAGGUGUAAGUAUAUAAUUUAAAAGUUUUUAAUUAUUACUUUUUAAAUAUCUGGCCUAUUUAGGAUCUAAAAUGUGUAUGAUGAUAAAUGACUAGCUAGUCAAGUGCCCAUAAAAUGCAUUAAUGUCCCUGAGAAUGAUAAAUCUUCUUUAAAUGAAUAGAGGCUGACAAUCAAGGAUCAUGUGUUCUCCAGACCUUCUGAUAAAUGUUCUUUCUAUUAUUUCCAAUAGACUUUGAUACAUUAAACUGCCUAAUUUAUUCCCAGUAAUUUAUCUUGUUCUCUUGGGUAUCAGCUCCUCUCUUUCCAUAUUUUCUUCCAACAGAAACACCAAGUAGUUAUAUCAACAUCAGGAACAAUAAGAACAAUAAAAAUCAACUGGAAGGUACCAGCAGAUAUCACCUUUGCUCUCUCAACUCUGAUGCCAAAGCCCAAGGAGGUGGAAAUGGAAGACGAGCCCAUUUGCAGCAUGGGGAAUCUCUAGCUGGCUCCUUCUCAGGUGAAACACAGCGACCAGAGGAGAGCUCUUCCCAUUCUCUACCCAUGUCCAGGAAUGCAAAGUCACCCAGGCUCAGUUUCAACAUCUUGCCCUGCCUGCUGUAAUUACAGGGUUUGUGCCUAUCUCCUGCUGAGAGUGGAUGAAGGCUCAAGAGGGAGGAAAUCUGGGACUAUGCAGAACGUGCAGGAUAGGAGGGAGAUGUGACCCAAACUCUGGGGAUGAGUAGCCAGAGACAGAAUCACAGAGAAAAAAAUCCUUAUGCUGUUUCACCAAGGAUCUGCUACUUGUUGCUGUCACAUACAAAAUAGCAGCUAGGUGCCCAUGGCUUGCUAGAAGAGCCAUCAACACAGGGGACUAAGUCCACAGACUCCAGCUUGCAAAUCCUGUGCCCUGCCAGAAGAGAGCUGAAACAGAUACACGUCUGGCUGCUACCAGAAGGCUUCUCUCUCUAGGUUUGAACCCUGAUCUCUCUCUAUUUUUUGGAAUCACUGAAUUCGAAGCCAAGAUCCAAACACUGCUCAAACACUUGACAUUCAGAAGGGGGAAAUAUUCACAUUGAUGUGAUUUGAAAUGACAGCAAUUUAGAGUAGAGACUACAGUUGAUGAGAGAGUGAAGAUCCAGAUUUCACAGAAGGGAAAGAGAACAUCUAGUUACAAAAUGUGGAUUGCAUUCAGUGGAGAAGACCUUGCUCUCACACAACCCUGGAUAGCCUUGGACUGAGUUGCUUAAGGACUUCUGUUAAACACUUUGCUUUCCAAAGACCUUAAAACACGGUGUGCUACUGAGGAUUUUUCAAUCCCAGGUGAGUUUCCUGAUCUCUAGCUUGUCUAUUCACUUUAUAGCUUAAUGAAUCUUUAAAAGCUUUUCUUCUGAGUGGAACCAGUUCAAAAGGAGAGGAGGAGAUAACAUCUCUGCACAGCCUGUCAUGAGAGAGUGGUUGUGUGGCUUGAGGCCAAAUUCAUCACUCGUCUUCAGCAUGGCCUUCUGGGCUGGUCCUGGAGGUACUCAAUUGUUUCUCCGUGGGUAAAAACUUUGAAUAUAGCUUAUCCUUUAUGAUGUUCUCAAAGGAGCCUUUAUCUGCCUCAUAGAAGUGCCCCAGCAACUCUGUGCUUAACCCAACAUCCCUUGUGUCUUAAAUCUGAAUUUCUCGUGAGUGAGUAAAGUGGCUCAAAGUGCUCUCUAAAGGGCCCCAACAUCCCUGCCAAGGCCUUUGGCGCUGGAAAUAUCAGAAGUUAAGUGUACCCUAUGAGUUAAUCCGGCUCUUAUAAAGUGAAGAUCAUAUUAUAUAAUGAGCUUCAAAUGGGAAGACACCUGCUUUCCUGCCUGUAGCCUUGUUAAACUCAGUGGAGGUCCCUGCAUGUGGAAGUCACCAUCAUGUGCUAAGAAAAAGCCUCUUUGGCUGGAUCCCUUGUUAUUUAAGUACACUGCAGUCCCUAUUUAUGCAUCUCCAAGGUUGUUAUCUGAGCUGGCAUGGAAGGCUCAGUACAACUUCCAGUGAACUGGAAUCGCUGAAGUUCCGUGCCACUGAAACUAUCAGGAUUUUAAGCAGUGGAUAAGAUGGUGAGGUCUGGGUUUUGUCUGCUUAUUGCAUUUUUAUGAUUUUCUACCCAAUUUGAUGAAAUUACAGUAUUCAUAAUUGCAAGCAUUGUGGGUUAGUAUUUCUGCAUUCAUGUAAUUUACCAACUUUAAUGAAUAAAUAAGCACCUAACUGCUGUGGCAAGAGAUGCUCCCCAAAUCUUUUAAUAAUAAAUAAUACCGCCACAGUGGAGUGCUCAGAUUGGAACAACUGCCCUAUGUGUCAUUACACCCAUACAAUAAACCAUUUAAAACUGUUUUAAAUGCUUUCUGCCAUCACUGGUAGUGGUAUAAUAAUUUUAUAUGGUUCAUCUGCUGCAGUACUUAAUUUUCUUUAGUGCUUCUGGAAGGAGUGAUUAUUAUCACAAAAAAUGACUAUAACGGUAAGACUUAGAAACUAUAAGACUGUGUUAUUACAUGUUCAGUUUCCAUCGGGAAUUUCUCAGUCUAUAUGAAACUGGUUUGCAGUGGAAUGUCACUGUUUGUUCAACCCAUCACAUUUUUCAGCUGGAAAACCUUGUAGUUAGGUUCUGUUCAUCAUUGUUCCUUCUGUUGUAUGCUGUGCACAAAUGUCUUACAGACAAGGCGGGUGAAUUCAUGGGUUAUGCACCAUGGUACAUUAGACAUGUGGAGUUAGUCAUAUGCCUGCAUUACCAUGUCCAGGGCUCCUGCCCACUUGGCAUCAUUACUGACAGUACUCUCUGUGCCACACUGGCUUUAGCACUGUGAAAAGUUUACCUCUGAAAAGUUUCCUUUUGACAUUUUGGGACUAACUACUCCAAAAUAUUCACCAAACAAAAUGUAUUUUUUUUUAAUGUGAAGUUUUUUCAAAUGAAAUUCAGCCACUCAUUCUAGGUAACUGUAUCCAUUUAGAGUUGCACUAGACUUUAACAACUGCACUUGAAAUACUAAUUCAGUUCAGUGCUUCUGACUGUCCCUACAUUGCAGAGUCUGCAACUGAAUACAAAAGUAUGAGUAUUGAUUGAAAAAGUAACACAGAUAAUACAAAAUCUGUGUAAUUUGAAAAAAGUUCCUGGAGCCAUAUCACUUUUUGAGACAUCCUUGAAGACAAGAUGCUGCAUCUCAAGGACUUAUCUUCAGACUUGCUGCUUGGCAAAUUAAUCUUUUCAAUUGCUUUUCCUUGCUUGUCAGAUUUUUAUGCUGGUCUUUUCAGUAAAUGAGUUGUUUAUACAUAUCACCCUUCUGUUAGCUUUAAGUAGAUGUUUAAACUGUGAUACUAUUACAUUUUUUUUAAAGGGACUUGCAACUCUGGCAACUCCAUAGGGGUAGAAAGGAUUAAAACAGUAUUAGAGCAGAAAUGAUUAAGGGAAAGCUCUUCAGAGUGCACUUGUGUGUUCAAAGUGUGGGUGUCAUUAUGUUUAUUGAGAUGGCUGUUAACAAAGCAUCAGAAACACAGAAGCUGCGAGCAUCCUUACAGCCUUUUCUAGUGCCUGUUGCCCUCUGUGAGCACUCAAAAGCCAGCCAGGAGUCUGGGGAGCGAAGGCAACAUCCAAUCAGAUCCAUUUCAUGGACAAGUGCAGUACUUUGUUUUGAAAAAGCAAAAAUCAGCGAGCAUGACAAAGAACCAUUCCCAAACCUGCACCUGCCUCCUGAGCUGCAGGUAAGUACUUUGUCUAACGAGCAGAUGAGCAGCAGGAAAGCAGGAAGCCUGGUGUCAAUGCUGAGCAGUGUGAGAAGCAGAGGGCCUUCUGCUGGAGGAGCUAACAGAGCUAAGAGGUGAGAAGAGAUUUUUACUUGGGCUGUGCCACUCUGUUUGCUUCUCUAAGGGGCCUGCGAGGGAGACUUAGCAUUUCUGAGUGCAUUUUUGAGGAGCAUUUCUGCUCCUACUCUGAUGCUGAUCCUGAGUAGCCACACACUAGGUCCAUCAGCUCAGUCCAUCAUCUCCCCACCUCGCAGGGAAACACGGGAUCCUUUGCCUGCGGUGCUGUGGCUGUGCAGCAUUGCUGAGGCUGGAGCUGCUUUGUGCCCAGGAGCUGUGCACCCCUGCCCUCAGCUCGGCAGGCUGCCUGGCCCCUUCAACCUUGCUGCCACAGACCCAGAGAAGGCUUUUUGCUUUUCCAGCAGAGAAGCUGACAAAGCAAAUGUGCCUGGCAUCCUUCCGGGCUUGAAGGAAGAGCAGGCUGCCUAAUGGUCAUGCUUUCCAAGGGCUCUCCUGCUGCUUGCGAUGUGUUGUCCUUGGCUGCUGCACGCUGGGAGGAGGAGCUGGGAAGGCAGAGGGAAAGAAGAUCAGUUAAUGUGAAGUUAAUGGAAAGCAGGGCAGGGAAAAUGAGAUUGGAGGAGGGAGAUAAGAAGGGAUCUCCUGGGUCAUGGAAUACACUGCUGAGAUAGGCAAGCACAGUACAGAUCGAUUAAUUAAAAUGGGAGUAAUUAAAAACAAGUUAAUUAAAGAUUAAUUGAUUGAUAAAUAGUUACAUAAUUUGUGUGCACUAUAAUUAAUUGAUUAAUUAGAAACAACAUCUAUUUGUUAAAACAUAAUCAAAUUUUAGGUCUUGUUGGUGAGUUUGCUCUCACUGAUUUUUGUUGUUGUUCAUUCCUCUGUCUCGCCUCAUAAGUACAAACUUUCAAAAUUUUUCGUUUAAUUAAUUCAUGGUCACAUUAAGCCAGUUUAUUUUUGUUACCAUUUAGAGAGGAGUGUCUGUGUAUAGCCCAACUUGGUGUGGCAGCUCUGCCAGCUGUGCUUUGUGAUUGUGUUCAAUAUCUUGGUAGGUGUUUCCAGGCCAUGAAUGCCUGCCCUAAAACUCCUUGCAGCAUUUGACCUGCCAGCCUCUGAGUAGCAAGAUCUCAUUUAUUCAGCUGGCAUGUGGGGCCCUGAGCCUAUCCAUUGUCAUUUGCAAGAUAUUUCAUGGUGGCAGCAAUUACUGUAAUCUGUCCCUUCGGUAGGAGGCUUGAAGCCCACUCUUUCCAUUGGCAUGGCUGAUCUAACUGCAGAAUAAGUCACGUGCUAACAGCUGGACUAAAAACCGCCCACAGAUGUUGCUUAAUAGGAGCCUGAGUAAGUCCACCCACUGAUGGUACAUUUAGUCCUCCUAGAACAGGCAGGUGUAUAAUCUAGGAAAUUUUCCAGUUCAGCCCUUGGAGACAUGAAUCAUUAAUGCUAAGUGCAAAGAAACAAGGUCCUUUUUACCCAUGGGGGGGAAAGAAAAAAACCAUAAACACCGAAAAAAAUGAGGUAGGACAUCUGGGAGGAAGCAACCAGUUUUUCUUUAUGCCAAAGCUAGCUGUUGGCUUUCAGUAUAAGAAAUAACACAGUGGUCUCUCCCCAUACUCUGAAAUUUUUUCGUGUGUUACUGAGAGCAUUCACAAUGCUAGUAGGCUGGGGUCAGAGGCAUCAGGCUGUGAAUCAGCUGAAAUAGUCAUGGACUUCUGCUGCUGGUGGCUCUGGGAAGCGUGCUUACAUGGCUCACUUCUGUAGCUGAACUGCUCUAGUUUUCCUUCAGGGCAACAAGCUCACGGACUCACCUGGGCUCUGUGUGGCUCUGAGGAGUGCUUGCACCCAUGGAGGGUCCCUGCUUGGACUCUUUGCCUUCCUAUCACAGUGAAACAGCCCUGGAUUUCCAUGCCAUGAGGGCUGCAGGAGCACGGCACUCAGGAUAGGUGAAUUUAGUUGAAAGUGUGGCCUGGGCAUCAUCCUUACUACGCGAAACAAAAAGAGGUCCAUUGGCGUAUUUUCAGGAAAUAAGAGGCUUCUAGGACAGAGCCCAAAAAAGGCAUUCACACAUGAAAUCCUGUGUAUUUCCAUAGCACUGACAUAGUGCUAUGAAUGGCUAAUGUAAAUAAUAGCCUGAGAAAAAAGUAAAACCUACUUUUAUCCUCUUCAGCAGUUUUUCUCAUUGUCUUCCUGGACCUUUUCCAAAAUUGUAGUAUUUUGUAAAGUUAGGCUGGCUCAAGCCUCAAACAAGCUGCUUGGCAAUGGGGAGAAGGGAAGAGAGUCCUGGAACAGCCAUCCCUAACCUCAGCUUUGAGUGAGGACUUUCAUGGCCAUUAGCACAAGGACACUUCGGGUGACCUCAGUGAACCAGAUUCUUUUGCCCAUUGCAAACUGAAAUUUUAUCCUCUAUAUCCAGCAGUUUAGUUUUGCUCUAAACUGUCUAAGCCUGUGGCUCCAGACCUAUAGAUCUUCACUUCAAUUCUCUCUCACUUUGUAUUUUGUUCUUACUCAAAAAAAAAGUAUUUAUUCUUACUUAAAAAAAUUAAUAACUUCAUUUAAAGAAAGAAACGGUAAGAAAAGGGUUUUUCAGUUUUGAGCACUGUGAUUUACAAGAGAGAUGACAGGGUGUGGAGCUGCUGCCUGGUCCCUGCAAGGUAUGUAUAAUGCAAUUAGUCACAGGGCAACAUAAAUAGACACUUCUGAAUUGUAAGCACUUCUGUGACUAGCAGACAUGCUGCUGCCUCAUCUGGGAAAAGUACACUUUUUCUGGCAUUUACAAAACAGCUGGCAACACCUCUAGAAAGUUUUCUGCUUUUGCCCAGAGCUCUUAGUUACGGAGCCAUGAGUUUCAUGUGGUGUUAAUCAAGAGCUGAGUUAGCCAUACAUUUUGAUGUGACUAUUGACUUCUUAAGGACAUUAGUUGUGUUUCAGUUUCUUAUCUAUUUUUUUGGACUGAAUAUCCUUGCCCUGGAAAAACUGAAAACAAAAAUCUCUUGUUACAUUUUUAAAGCCAAAAUCAAAAUCCUCUUGGGAAUGAAUUGUUUUCAGUUCUCUCGGUUUGGUAAACUGCUUUGGAAGGUUUGCUCAACAACUUCUGACUGUUUGUCAAACAAAUGGGAGAAUAUUAACUCCUGCCUUGAGACAUUUUUGGGACUUGGCAUAGGGUUUCUGGGAAAUAUCCCAAAAGAACCAACAGCAGUUGAUUGAAAGCAGAAUUACGUUACAUUACAUUGGGAAAAAAAAUCACCAAAAAUAUUAUUUUUAUAUUACAUCUACAAGUAAACUUCAUUCACCAAAGACAUCACUGGGGUGGGGAAAGAGGAAGAGUUCUCAUUGACCAUACAUUCCCACAGCAAGAAUUACAUUUACUGUGACAUAAAAUAAUCAUUUGGAUGAGAUACAAAACCAGAAGGAAAUAUAAAGAUGAGCCAGAGCAGACCUAGGUGGGUCAACUACUACUCAUAUGCCUGUUGCAUCCUUCCUUGGGCAUUACAAAUGAGGUAGCUUUUACCCAGUCCUUUGAAGUCCUUAGAAUGAAAAUGCACAGCUCUGAAGAAGAACAUAUGAAGGGUGAAAUACACAAGCUGUUUUAGAUGUGUAUGUAUAUACUGACAGAUGGUAUUAUACCAAAAGCAAUGACCAAUUUGCUAUUCUGUUGUUGAAAACCCAAACUAACAAUCUGAAUGUGUAGGGAGUCAAGUUUCCUUUUGAAAUAUAUGAAUUGCUCUUAAUCAUGACAUUAUAAAAUAAUAAACACUUUCCCUUUAAAUGGCUUUGACACAGCUAAAAUCAAGCCUAUUUUAUCAGAAGAAUCCCUCAGGACCACAGAUUAUAUAGAGUAGUUUUGCUUCAAAUUCUUAUGCUUUUUCCACUGGGAAGCAUUUUAAUUUGUAGUUUUCUGACACUGUCUUCUAAACAGUUUGUCCCCAGCACAAUACAUGAAUUCUACGUGCCAUGUUUCAUUGGCACAUUAGCAAGGACACAGAAAAACUGCAUCAACAUAUCAUAAAAAAUGCAAAAGCAUUGAACACUUAUUUACAGCUCAAGCUGUUCCAAACAACUCAGUAGCUGAAAUGGCUGAAGACCUACUAUUUCUAGGCUCACUGUCUAAAUCACACCUAAUUUUCUGCGAUCUAUUGCUAUCAGUAGUGGGGAAAUCAGAGGAAGAUGAAAUGAGCAAUCCACUGUUGGCAGUGAUGUACGUGAGAGUGUCUGAUUCAGAGCAGACACUGAUAUUUCAUCUAGCAGAGACAGUUCAUAAAGUCACGUGCCUUGAGGUGUAGCAUGAACAAGUGUGUGGCUGGGCUCCUCUUGACAUUAGCAAUAGACUUCCUCAGGCUAGCCAAGUCAUUUGCAAAGCUGCUCAAAGGCUGUCCAUGUUUACAAGAUUAGUUCUGAGCAGGACUGUGCUCUAACAUUGCCUUUUACCAGACAGAGAAGAAUGCAAGUUUAGGGUCAUUGUCUCCUCAGUUUUCUUUGGGACACCUGUUCCACAGAAGCUUCCUUUCAGGGACAGGACUGAUAGCAUGGAAAACAUACAUCAUACCUCAGAUGUGCCUCAAAGCAUGUGCUGGAUGGGAGGAGUCACUUCCAAGUAUGAGGAGGAAUAUUUUUUCCAGGACCCAUUCCAGGUUGCAAUGAUGGGUUUUCUAGUGGGUGUUGUUUAAUGUCUUCGUAUGGACUGAGAAGCUCAAAUCCCACCACAAUUCAGAGUCAAGCACAUGACUGAGUCUGUGGCUUAGUUGAUUUACUGCCUUCAGCAGAUCAGUGGCAGGCUCAUUUCAAAAAAAAAAAAAAAAAAAAGUUUAAGGUAGUUUUAAGGUUUAAACCUUUUUAAAACUGAGUCUACUUUUCUGAUAAAUAACUUUAUAGAAAGGAAGAAGUGUCAGUCCUAAAUGCAUAGAAGGGAGAUGGGACCUUCACUAGAAUAUCCUAAAGAUCUUUGCAUUGUAACAGUUAACCGGAGUGGUACGUUCAUAUCCCGUUAUGAAGCUGGUUUUUUUUAGGGGGGAAGAGGAUGUAUGGCAGGGUCUUGCUGCUGACUUGGCAUGGGGCUGGGAGAGGAAUUUAGCUGGGAUUUCUGGGACAGCCAGCCUCUACUCAGCUGGAUCCAGAUCUGUCCCUUGUCUCCGCUCAAGCAACAGCCCAGGGUGAACAGGGGACGCCAAAGGAGCCUUUGUUUUAUAGUCCUUUGCCUUUUUGCUCCUAGAGCUUUUUUUUAUUAUUACUAUAUUUUUUUUUCCUGCAUGUCCUCUAUUAUUUCAGAAGCUUUCCAGUCUUGAAAACUUUUUUUUUUUUUUUGUAUUUUUCUAGCUUUUAGAAUCUGGAUCUUGAUUGCCUUAUAUCAUGGCUUCCUUGCAGUUCCUAAACAUUCUCCCCCCCCAAAAAAAAACACUAAAGUUGGUGUCUGAGCCUAUAAGGAAGUGUUAUAGAAUAUUUUUAUAUAAGACAGAUUAAUGAUUUUGAAAGACGAUGCAUUUGUCAUAAGGCAGAAUUUUGGCAGAAAACUGAGCUUCAGUGAACAGCUGUUUUCUAUCUUGUCAUGCAUCUUCGAAGAUCUAACCUGAAUUUUCUCCUGAAUUUGAACUUUAACAAAAUCACGACUCAAUGCUAUAAAAAAAACCAAACAAAACAACACACACAAAAUGCACAUACACAAAACUUCCAUAGAUUUAAAAAGUAUGAAUUCUAAUAGGAAAAUAUUUUUAAAUUUCAUUCCCUAUACUUUUGUCUGUGACCUCCUAAAUUGCAAUUUUUGCUUGGUGGCGCUAACGUAAUCACAUAGAGAGGUUUCUGCAUUACAAUUGAUCACCCUGGAAUUUAGAGUCAAAUUGAAACUGUGAAAUCUAGAAGAGAAAUCUUUAUGUAGUAUUUCUGGAGGUCACACACUGGGAUUUCUUUUUUCUUUAAACAAAUCAAAUUUCAGUGUUGGUAUCCUACAUCAAUUACAAGAGGUUUCUGAAACAACAUUUUAUUCUGUGUAAGGUACAGGCAAAGAAACACUUCCAAUGAUACAGCAGCAGCAAGAGAUAACUGUACAUUCUUUAUCACUCUGUCAUUUUAUUUCAGAGUAAAAGUCUAAUAAACUACCCAAAGUGGUUGCUUGAAGCCUGUCCCUUGGGAGCCUUGCCAGGAUGGCAAUCUGCUUGCUCACUCUGAAGCACAGGCAGAGCAGGAAUUCUUUCCUUUAAUGACACCAGUUCUGCGAAUUGCAGCGUGUGAACUCAGCUUGACCCUGAGCGACAGACUUUCCUAAAAAUGACUCUUAGGUAAUGUGGCCAAUUCAAGGUUGUUCCUUUUGGCAUAUUCUGUGCUCUUUGCUUAUCUCUAGAAUGAAGCUGAACAGUAAUCCAUUAUGCUUCUCUCUGCUGAGCUCAGUGGGUAUCAUUUGCAACUGUAGGGAGGAGAAAAAAAUGAGCACAGAAAGAAAAAGUCUGGAGCAGGAAACAAUGGUGUUGUUUUGGGGAACAAUUAAAACCUAAUGCAUGAGGCUAUUGCUCUUCAGAAAAAAAAAGCAUGAAACAGACUGGGAGAUCUGUCUGAGAAAAUCUCUAUUUCAACAGCCAGCUUGGGGCUUGUGCUAGUGAUCACGUAUACCAGAAAGGUGAUGUGUUUCAUGCUGAGCUUCCAGGUAUUUGCUUUUAUAAUGCAACAUCCUGAAAGAUGAGCAGGCUGGACCAGAGUGAAGAGGGAGAGGGAACAGAAUGACAGCAUUCACCUUCUGGUGAACAAGGUAGUCGUGAACUUGGGCUGCGAGAGCCCCUCUAGAGAGCUGUGGUGGAGCCCAGGGUUGAGGCAAGGAGGAUGCGGCAGCCUCCCCAGGGUUACUCUCAGGGAGCCAAGGGGGAGAAGCUGACGCUUUCUAUUUCAGCUGCCAUGACAGGCUUUGAACAGACAGACAGGGAGGAAAAACUGCCCCGCAUUCAAAUGUGGAAAGUCCCCAGUGUCCCAGAGUGUGUCAGAAGGUAGUUCCUAGAGAACACAAGGGGCAGGGGGGUCCUUCUCACCCCAGUUCUCCUCAAGAAGCACAGCAGCAAAAGCCAGAGAGUUUCUGUGCUCCCUGCACUGCUGUCAGUAUUUGCAUGCUUUCCUUCCCCUCCACCAUGAGAUCAAGACCUAUUACCAAUGUGUGAUCCUCUGGAAGUCAGGAGAGCAAGAGCAGCUGGAUCAGCAGGAGCAGUCUUUCCCUCCAACUGGUCUGUAAGCAGGCAAACUGCAAGAGGCUGACAUACUACAGGGUACCUUGCCCAAGGGAAAGUUUGUUCUUUGUUCCCUUUUAGCCAAAUUAGUUUUUAUUCCUAAAAGACAUAGAUUCCUCUCUCUUUUAAAAUCUCUUUAAAAGAAACGAGGCCCUUGCAGUCAUGUUUUAGGUGUGAAAGCUGGUGACUGUGCUUUAUUUAACGGAUGUGUACAUGUACUUCUUUGUCUGUAGGCUGUGGAUUUGCUACAGAGACUGAGAGCUGUGGGGGUCACACAGUGACUGUAUAUUAACAAAGGCUGUUGAGAGUUUCUGAGAUUAAAGUCUCAAGAGUAAUCAGUGUGCUGGUCAACGUGCUGAUCUCCAUGUGUCCAGCUUUGUUAUGUACCACCUGUGAAAUGGGAAACCAGGAUCCUACAGUAAUUAUGACUGUUAUUCAGGGAAAUGGUUAGAAAUUAAAGGUCAUCUAGGAAACCAAAACCAAAAAAAAUCAGCCUCAGAAAGAAAAGACACUGAUGAAAACAUCUUUCUAGGUCUAGGAAGUUGAAAAAACAACAAUGCUAACUUUAAUCUCCACAGAAACUUGACACAGGGGUUGCAAUGUAUUUUGUGACUUUUCUGGACUUUCCUGCUUGUUCCCAGCACAGAAAACAAAUGUAAAUCACUCUGGGGACAAGUAACCGUCAAAGGCUCCAUUCCUUUCAUUCCCUUUCUUGCCAUUUCUCUUUCAAACCCCAAUACUUGCUUUGCAGAGUUUAUUAUUAGCAGCUGUGCCUGAAACUGGGGAGAGUGUUGUAAGAGGAGAGCUAUAUAUAUAUUUUUGCUUCAGAUAAAACAGUGUCUCUUUCUUGGCAUUGAGUGUCUUGGAGCAACUUCAUUGUUUGGCUGCAUGGUGUGGGAGUGAAAAGGAGAAGGUAAUCUCUGAAAAAUCACCUUGAACAACCCAUUUAACUCCUAGGCUGCUCUGCAGUCAUCUCUGCAUCUGUCCAGCACCCCUCAGAGCUCUGUUGCCAAUUUAUAGAGGAGGCAGCAGUCAAUACAGAUGUUUACACUACGUAUUCUUAUAUCUAUCUCAUAUUCAUAUAUAGAAAUGUCUAGAUAUGGGUUUGGAAAUGUCCCUGUGCCACUAUCUGUAGGCAUCAUUCUUCACUUACAGAGUAGUAAAGAAAGAAUAAUACUGAGAUGGUUAUAAUGCCUCUUCUCUUAUUUAAUAUGCUGGGUGCAAUGGUCUCUAUUACAUUCCUAUAAAUUAUUAACUCUUUUUUCUACAUAAAAAAGUUUAAUCUUUACAACUUCCUAACAGAUAUUAAGACAUGAUAAAAUGAAGAUGGCUUCACACUACAAUUCAUUAGGACUUCUCUUUUAAGAACAAAGUGGAGCAAUGUAGUAUUAGUGUUGAUUUUAUCAACUGCUGUCUUCUCUAAGGGAAAAAGUCCCUGAAGAUUUAAGAGAGUGUUUUUUGUGUGGCAAGCUCUGGGGAGUCAUGCUGCCUGUAUUUAAGGUCUCUAGAGGUCCAAGUCCCUCAAGACUGCAUGGAGGACAGUCCCAGACUGAGAGUCACAGUGAUUCCAUACCAUAAGAAAUUAUGCUGCAAGAAGAGGAAUAAAUGUAACCACAAUGCCCAUUUUAUGGCUUGCUCUGGAGCCCAUUAGAUAAAAUGAUCUUUGGACUAGUUCCUCAUCCAGACUUCCUUUAGCAGGAUUACUAUUGCACAUCAUGCAAGUGUUUGUAUUUCUCUCUUUCUUCUAAUCAAGAAUUAAGCUUACAAACCAGAAUUUAGUAGGAUUUUGGGCAACAUGAUCCAUCCUAAGCAGCAUGUCUUUACACAAGGAAGUUUCAAAUACUACUUUACUACUUUCAGCCACAAAAAUAAUAACUAAAAAAAAUAGCUCCAGCCCUGUUUUUGUGUGUGGCCCACCAGUGUCAUGGCAGAACAUGGAGGCAGGAAUGAACAGAGUGCAUAUCAGUGUUAGGCACGUUAUAUAGAGCUGGUGUAUGAUUGCUGGUGGAGAAAGAAAGUCAAAUAUGGCAUUCAUUACCUCAUUCACAGCCUGAUAAAUCAGUCUCUGUCUUUAUCCUCAACUAUUUGGCUUUUGCCACCCCCAGUCCUCAUGACUUCAUCUUCAUAAUGAAUAAUUCAAUAAAUAUUUUAAAAACUCCGGCUAUUAUUGACUGUUUAAAUCUUCCUACUUUAUGGUUUGUGGGGUUUUCAGGAAUUGCUGACUGUCAGUUCUCUGUAGUAAUUACAGGUUUCAUAUAGGGCACAGGGAAGAAAAUAAUGUUUCUUGGUAUAGCAAACAAACAAUUCAUUGAAACUGGUGUAACUGACAGACUGCAAAAAAUAUAAUUUAUAUAUAAAUACAUAUAUAAUAUAACAGCAGUGGGUAGGAAAGGAGAAGAGACUAGUGAGUUCUUGAGGGACAGAAGCAGCAGAAAGAAUGUAAAAGAAGAGGAAUGCCAAAAGAAUGUCAUUAUUGGCAUUCAGUGGUGGAGAGAUUGAGUGAGAGGCAUUGAGGUAGACAUGAAGGAAUAUGAGGAUGGAGCAGCUAUUGUUGGUACAGAUUUGUGCAAAAAGAGAGAAAUGCCAGGAAGGCUGGGAGGUGAACAAGGGCAAGAAGGCAGGGUUUGAAUUUUAGCUUCAGGGAAUAAGCAGUCAAAAUGAGAUAUUCAUGCUAUGACUGAGGAAAAAAUAUCAACAGAGCAGGGGAGUAUAAAGGACAAGCAAGAGAGCAGUUCUGAAACAAAGCAGUAUUGAAGUUCACCUUGCCAUCACCUAAAACAUUUUUGCCCUUCUCUUAUUGCAGGCAAAUCAGGAAAAUGAAGUGGUUGCCUCAGACCAACACUAUGCAUAAAGGAGAGUGACGCUGCAUCCCCUCAGUGCCUGCAGCAUCCCAAGGCACAGGACAAUGUAAAAAGACCUUAUGUAGCACUGUGUAACACUCCAGUGUUCAUGAGUCUUGAGACUUCUGCUGUAGUCCUGUGAAAUGCUCUUGCUUUCCUUGCCCACUUCCUCAUUACAUAGCUUUGAGCAAAAGGAAUCAACUUUCUGUUUACAUAGCUAGUAAAGAUGGUUUCUAAAUAGUUUCCAAUGCCUGAUAGAUUUGUCAUUUCAAGGACAUCACAAUGCGCUGUUCCAAAAGUAACAAGCAAUUUAAAAGACAGAAAGGAACUUGGGAAUAGGUCCCUUUCCAAGAAACUUGCUAGGGCAUUGCACAUUUUCCUAGUUAAUAAUAACCUUCGCCAUUCUCUACAGUGGUAAGGGAUUGUUCUAUGGGAACAGAAGAUAGGUUAGGAUUGGAACUGUUCAGAAAAAAAAAAAAAAGAAGAAAGAAAGUGUAGAUGUUUCCUCCUCUUAUUUUCUUGUUCCUCUCUAUUUGACUUUCAUUUGUGUAAAUAUUGGUUAAACUGAAUGGCAGAUAGAAAGGUUUCUCAUUGUUGUGCCAGGAGAUAUCGAUGAAUUUCUAAUGCUAUCUUAUAUGUAUCCUUCAAGUGCGGUGAAUGUGCCACUUAUUUCCCAUUAUGUAAUGGGAUAUUUUUAUAUUAAAAAUGUUUUAAAAUAGUGUUUUUACUUUUUAAAGAUAAUUUGUAAAAGCCAAGAUAAAUUGAAAAGAAAAUAUUGCAAGAAAAUCCUGAAAGAGGAUAUAUGGAACAGUACAAAGAAAAAGAGAAGGAUGAUCACAGAUAUCAAAUGGUUUCUGUAUACAGAGAUAUUAAAUAGACUUGAUCUCUUCAGCUGGAGAAAAAAGCUACUUUUACUCCAGGCUGAAGGCAAAGCAAAAGGAGAGAUGCUCUUGAUGUAAAUUGAACAGGUUUGGUGGAAGAAAGUUUUAACUACAACUAUUAAACAUGACAGAACAAACGAAUCUUCCAAUACAGAAAGUCUCCAAGUCUACAUGGGAAACUGAAACAAUAUACUAUUGGAAAGAUGUCCCUACACAUUUCUUGUCUGCUUCCUCCCUAGGUUUCUGCUCCCUACUACACCUACAGGACUCUGACUGGAGUGACUCUUGAUCUGAUAGGGUACAGGUGCUGUUACAGUCCUCAACUUUUCAUCUCACCCACAUUCCUCCUCCAUGCAACACCACUCUCUGGAAGUUAGAACACAAACAAUGGAGUUAAAGCAGAUUACAUGUGUGAAAAUGAAGGGAAACAGCACAUUUUUCUGGGAUUUGCAGAUGCUGUGACAGGCUGCCUUAGUUAGGAAACGUCAGAAGUGUAAUCGUAUUAAUAGAAUCAUUUUCUUAUGCAUGUGGAAAUGGAGAUGAUGUAUCAUUUACAAGUGAAUGAAGACUCAGUGUUGGUAACUGCUGGACUGCAUAAUAUGGCCACAAAAUGCUUCCAUAAUAAUGAGUCCAGGAAAUUAUUGCACAGCUGUAACACAAGUGUAGAGGAGAUUAGUAGAGACUUUCAAUGGAUUUUUAGGUUCUCCCUUUUUAAAAAUACCUUUCAUCCUCAAUGCAGCCUGAUUGCGUAUGGUAGCCGGCAUGAAGGCAAGCAGCAACUGCAGCAAAGUUUUGCAGAGAAAACGUGAACAUAUGUGGAUGUGCUGACAUUGUAGCUCCAGGAUGUAAAGAACUUCCAGAAGUUAAAUUGUAUGAAGAAUGACAGGAUCAUCAUGAUUUAGGCUUUACUCAAACAGAGUAGGAAAUCUUCAGAAGAAAUUAUUUUCUCCCUGACCUAUUUACUACAAUAUUUUUCUAAUUCCCUUGGCUGUUGCAAUUAGAGUUUGAUUAUAAGCAGACACAAUGAGUCUGUGCAGUCAUUUAUUCUGCUGUGAUGGCUUGUGCUGUGUUUCUCUUACCUUCAGGUGGAGAAGCUAGCAGAAGGAAGCAGAUGGCCUGGGACACCAGUCCCAGAUGACUGGGAAAAUGACACUGGGAAGGGAUAUGGCAGGUAGAUCUGCUUUUAUCUAGAAAAUUUUAUUUCCCUGCUUACUCAAAGCAAAAAAAUUACUUCCCAAGACACAUUUUCAUUCAUAUGCAGUCUCCCCCCACCAAAUAACUGAACUCUGGUCCAGGCUGAAGCAGUAGGUCCUCGGAGCCUUGUGAACUCUCUGGAAUUUAUUCUUAGAUGUUUACAAGGACAGGAGACAUGUUAAUAGGAGAGGCACACAAGAUCCCAUGUGAUGUGUACAGGAAGAAGAAAAGAGGGUGUCAUUAUGAAGAGGUCCAAGUUUUCAUAUGCAUUAUGACCAGCUCUUCUAACCUACCAACACACGAGUAAAACCCAUAUAAAAAUUCCACAAUACAGCUUUAGUGAUAGGAUCUAUACUACUUUGGUCAUAUCCUCAGCUGAUAUUAAUGAAACCUGAAUAGAGGAUAUACUCCAGCUGUGCAGAUUUACUCUGGUGGAAGAUUCAGGCCUCCGUUUUUUGCUUGGCUUUGGGUUAUGACAUGUUAGAUUUAUUGCCUCAUUUGCUACAGUAAAUGAGAGUCUCUGGGCUGAGACACAUUCGAUAGCAGCGUGGUGAAUGGACUGGCUGAGGAGCAGGACAGGAAUAAAGAGAGAACAUUUGUUCUGAAAUACAGAACCCAGUCCUGAUUUCUCUCCUAGUCCAUCAUUACUGCUUUCCACAUUGAGUGAAGAUAAUCUGCUUUGAGACUUGAAAUGAGCAAAGGCAUUUUUUUCCUAAAUGAAAAGUGUUGUAGUGAAACAGAUUUGACAGUCCAUAGAAUUCACUAUAGAUCUUUGUUGAAGUGGAAAGGGAUUACCUAAUUUCUGUGCUAAGAACUGAUGUUUAAAGUGUGCAAUGGAAUACACAGAUAGUUGUAUAGGGCACGACAGUGUUUUGUUUUACGCUUACCUACUGUCUUGUAUGGAGAUCGCCAGACAUCAGCUGGCAAUCAUGAGAAUUUGGGGAACUUGUGCCAGAGAGUGUAGGCUCCUGAAAUAACAGUAAAACCAUACUUAUGAUUGUAAGUACGUGAUAAAUGAGUAAAUAUAGACAGAUGAGACAUGA